CACCGUAGACGGACUCUCCAGUCACCAAAUUCUUGGUGCAGAGCGCGUCCUCCUUCCCCUUCGAGAUGAACACACCUUCGUGUCGCUCGUGGGGAAUGACGAUGACCUUGCUGCCGCCCUUCAUCCCGCCGCCUCGUCCACCCCGACCGCCGCCGCGGCCGCCAGGACCGCCGCGGCCUCGGCCCCUACCGCGACCCCCGUCUCUCCCGCCGCCAAAUCGACCGCCGCCUCGCCCGCCACCAUCACUGAAACGGCCGCCGCCGCGGCCGCCUCCAUCGGAGCGACCGCCCCUGAAUCCACCACGGCCGCCACCCCUUGCUACUGGAGCCCUCAUCACUGGUGAGCGAGGGGAGAGGAGGGGUGAGAUUAGGGUUCGG
rnacentral:misc_RNA from 1 species